AUUUCAUCUACUGAGGAAUUUAGUUUAGCAACUUAGAUCACACAAGAACUGCCCAACACUGUCCAUCAUUUAAUUCUCUUGUUGAGAAGAGGAAGUCCCAGCCACUUGCUCCUAAAGGAAAGGAAAAAAAGAAGACUUGAAUAGUACAUUGUUUUUGCACUGCCAUUGUUGUUUUCACUGCACCAUAUAAUAAUAGGCUAUAUAAUUUCUAUAUGCUACUUAGCAUUAGUUACUCGCUGUAAGGGUACAUAAUUCAUUCAUUCAUACUGUAUUUCAUAUUGGUGUAGUAUGUAUAGUGUGUGAAUGUCUUGGUAGUACUGGGAGGGAUGCAUAGGGUUGUAUUGUCUGUUUAGGGUAGGUAGGCUACUAUGUGUGUUGUAAGGCAGUAUAGGUUAGUAUGUGUAUGGAUUGUGUACUGUAUGUUUAUAUGUACUGUAUGUUUAUUUACUGUUUGUUUACAUCCUUCAGGAUUAAUAAAGUAUCUACUGUA